UACAGAGGGUGCGAGCGUUGUCCGGAAUCACUGGGCGUAAAGGGCGCGUAGGCGGCCUGAUAAGUAGGGGGUGAAAUCCUGUGGCUUAACUGCAGGGCUGCCUCCUAGACUGUUAGGCUCGAGCACGGUAGAGGCAGAUGGAAUUCCCGGUGUAGCGGUGGAAUGCGUAGAGAUCGGGAAGAACAUCGGUGGCGAAGGCGGUCUGCUGGGCCGUUGCUGGACGCUGAGGCGCGACAGCGUGGGGAGCAAACAGG
rnacentral:rRNA from 1 species